UACGUAGGGGGCUAGCGUUGUCCGGAAUCAUUGGGCGUAAAGCGUGCGUAGGCGGUUCGUUAAGUCUGUUGUGAAAGCCCGGGCUUAACCCCGGGUCGGCAGUGGAUACGGGCAGGCUAGAGGUAGGUAGGGGAGAAUGGAAUUCCCGGUGUAGCGGUGAAAUGCGCAGAUAUCGGGAGGAACACCGGUGGCGAAGGCGGUUCUCUGGGCCUUGACCCUGACGGCUGAGGAGCGAAGGCGUGGGGAGCGAAGCAGG
rnacentral:rRNA from 1 species